GGGAGUGGAGGGUGAGGGAGUUUAAUUGGGGGUAGUGAGUGGGCAGCCACCUCAGAAACUGCACCGAGUUGAAUGAAUGAAUGACCUAAUUCAGGGAGGCUCAAAGAGGGAAGGACUGGAGGUGUGGCCAGGACCGAAGGACUGACAGACAGGCCUCCUCCAUCCCCACAGGUGCUGGAGCAGCGACUGACCCAAGAGAUCAGCACUCUGGAGCAGCAAAGAGCAGCUGCUGUCGGACGGCCGAAGACAGAGUGCGAGAGAGUCGGGGGGACAGUCCCAGGGCUCCCCAGAGGCCCGGGUCGGCAGAGGAGAGGCAGGCACCAGGCGGGCCCGGAGGAGGAGCAUCUGGAGACGCCGGAAUUGCUGCCCCAGGCACCCUGCUAGGCCGUUAGAACGCUCCCCAAGGCCAUCUUCCUUUCGGGCCUACCAAGAAAUAAA